rnacentral:rRNA from 1 species
GACGAACGCUGGCGGCGCGCCUAACACAUGCAAGUCGAACGGUGACGAGAGAGCUUGCUCUCUCUGAUCAGUGGCGGACGGGUGAGUAACACGUGAGCAACCUGGCUCUAAGAGGGGGACAACAGUUGGAAACGACUGCUAAUACCGCAUAACAUAUACUUUAGGCAUCUUUAGUAUAUCAAAGAUUUAUCGCUUAGAGAUGGGCUCGCGUCUGAUUAGAUAGUUGGCGGGGUAACGGCCCACCAAGUCGACGAUCAGUAGCCGGACUGAGAGGUUGAACGGCCACAUUGGGACUGAGACACGGCCCAGACUCCUACGGGAGGCAGCAGUGGGGGAUAUUGCACAAUGGGGGAAACCCUGAUGCAGCGACGCCGCGUGAAGGACGAAGGUCUUCGGAUCGUAAACUUUUGCUUCAGGGACGAGUAAUGACGGUACCUGAGGAGGAAGCCACGGGCUAACUACGUG